rnacentral:rRNA from 1 species
GUGCCAGCAGCCGCGGUAAUACGAAGGGGGCUAGCGUUGUUCGGAAUCACUGGGCGUAAAGGGCGCGUAGGCGGGCCCCUAAGUCGAGGGUGAAAUCCUGUGGCUCAACCACAGAACGGCCUUCGAUACUGGGAGCCUGGAGUUCGAGAGAGGUUGGUGGAACUGCGAGUGUAGAGGUGAAAUUCGUAGAUAUUCGCAAGAACACCAGUGGCGAAGGCGACCAACUGGCUCGAUACUGACGCUGAGGCGCGAAAGCAUGGGGAGCAAACAGGAUUAGAUACCCGUGUAGUCC